rnacentral:lncRNA from 1 species
ACUGUGCGGACUGCUGGCGUUCCUGCAGAGGAAAAGUCAGAUUACUACAGAAGUGAAGGAUAGAGCUGGUAGCCACAGGAGAUUACAGUCUGCUUCCCAAAGACAAGAGUGUGUGAGUCUUCCCUGGCAGCUCACCCACCACUGAUUCAAUGCCUGCAGCUCCAUCUUGGACACUUGGGCUCCCAUCCUCUUAAGGCUCCCACCUUCCCUCAGAGUGGUUCUGGAAAUUUCUGUGCAAUAGCUAUUCUUCAUAGGCAAUGGAGGCAUGUAUAGCAUCUAUGGAGGCAGCCUGGAGAGCAGGCAUUGGCAAACGGCAAAACAACGUAACUUGUGGAAUUAACACUUCACGUUGACACCCAUUAAAAAUAUUCAGAGAUUGACUCAGCCUGCCCAUAUUGCACAAAUAACAUGCUUGGUUCUGAGUGAUU